UUGAGAUCCAUCAAGGCUGAAGUAAUGUGUCUAUACACAGACCAGACAACACUGGCAGCCCCUCACUGCUUUGCCAAUCUGCCUCACACCUGUCCUGCAGGAACCAAAUUGCCAGGGGUGAGAAGGUAGUUCAGUCUCCAUGCUCAUUCUCUCCUUUGUCUUCC
ensembl:misc_RNA